GCUGUGGCUGGGGGCCCUGGCCUCCUGGCUCUAAUGAGAUCACUGACCUUCUCCUGCCACUUCUUCUGCAGCUGCUUGGAUUCCCAGGGAUUUGUUGUGGCCAUGCCUGCCUAACGGUUUGGAAAGCUGCUGCAGGGAAUGCUGCAUCCACAGGCAGGCUCUGGAGCUGGCCCUGGAGACCUACAGCAGGAAGUGAGGAGAAGGUUGCCUGUUCUCCAGUGAAAUAAAGCAGUGCCUUCCCAGCAAUCUUCUUGUGAUGCUUGAACUGCAGCAGAAACACAUAUGGGAAGAAUAAGAGAGAAUACCAUGUCUGCAGUCUGAGGCAUAUUUGGGCCUCCAAGUCCUCGAGACUCAUUCAGACUUUGCAUUUUUUGCUCUAGGUGCUGAACUGCAUUCCUGCUUCCCUUCCCUACUCUUCUAGCAGUAUUUUGUUUUCCUUGCCUCCUUCAGUAAGAGGCUUUCACAGCCUCCUUCUCUUCCUACCUGCAUAUUUGUUCUCUUCAAAUGUCCUGCAAAUUAUUAAAAACAAUAGAAAACUCUGAGAUAAACAUGAAAACAGGGCCUUGUGAAGCUGUCUGAUGUGGGCCAAGAAAGAAUACAAGACAAGUCCAUUUCCUGAAAAUGGGAUUUGCAGAGUGGAAAUGUCACAUCCAUAAUCACUUUCAUGUGGUGGAACUGCUGCUGCCCACCACUAAAAUAACAGAGCAUCUGUUAAAAAAUGUGGGUUUGGUUUUGCUUAAAUCCAGCAGGUUGCACUCAUUUCAAGACGUAUUAAGUCCUCAUUUAAAAACAUGAGUGCAAGUGCUUUGGUACCAUAAAUGUAUUAAAAGCAAAUGUAUGCUCAGCCCAGCUUGAGUCCCACACUGAACCCCGUUCAGAGCUCGUUUGUGUGAAUGGCUCAGUGAGCAAGGAGAACAUACAUGUGUGCAGAAGGUGGGUUUGUGUUGGAACAGAGAUACUGGGAGGGCAAGGGAGACCCCUCAGCAAGCAGGGGACUCUCAUAAUUGAUGGGAACUCUUUUGGAGACCAAGCUGAGGAAUAAUUACAAAUAAAGACUGAAAAAAAGGAGAUGGAAACUAAUAACUAAGCAAAGUGUUUUGCUCUGUCUGAUCUGCUUGUGCUAACUCUGCUACUUUCAAUCAUCCAGAGACACUUGAAGAUUUGCCCUAAUGUGGGAUGAGAGGGUCUCCUUUGCUGCUGCCUCAUGCUUCAAGCAGGAAAAGCAAUUUGGCAGAGAGGGAAGUGGCAAUUCCAAGGCAUUUCUAGGAACUCUUGUACUGCCAGGUGGAAAAAAUAGGUUAGAUGUGCUACAGCUGUAUCUUGUUCAUUCUAAUGGAAGAAAAUAAACCUUGCAUGCAAUGAUGAGCUGAAAAUGCAAAAUUAAAUACAGCACUAAUUUUCUGAAGUCUCUGAUUAACUUUGUCCUGUGCUUGGAAGAAGUCCUACCAGCUUUGAUCUCUAGAUCAGUCAGCUAGUGAAGGAAAUGUGGUCACUUCUUAAACCAACAGACUGGAGUUUUCUAUCUCGCUCUUGGGAUAGUCUUUCCUCAGAUCCUGUAUUUGAUGAGCAUCCAAAAAGCUCAGACUUCCCUAGCUUGGAAAUACUGUGAAAGGAAAACUUGGGGCUUUUGCUGGGAACCACAAGAAUGGUAUUUAUGGUAGCUUUGCAGGGAGUUCCAGCUAUGUCAGCAAGUAAAGGCUUGUCUUUAUUUUGUUUUUCCUUGUAAGCUGGGAUUGUGGAAUGACAUUUUUCCCUUUUUCCUUCUCAUUUUCUUUUUAAAACCCCAAGUUUAGCAUUUUCUCUCUGCUCUGGCUGAAUGUUUGGACCACUUCAUAUUUCAUCCCAGGUGGCUGGCUCUGUUCAAAUGUCCUCAGGAGCCCGAGUGAUCUUUAACUUGGAAUGAACUUCCUAUGUUUGGAGGGGAGAAGGGGGAAGUAGCUGGCAUGCCAUACCUCUCCCUCUGUA
rnacentral:lncRNA from 1 species